GACGAACGCUGGCGGCGUGCUCAACACAUGCAAGUCGAACGGUAAGGCCUUCGGGUACACGAGUGGCGAACGGGUGUGUAACACGUGGGUGAUCUGCCCUGCACUUUGGGAUAAGCCUGGGAAACUGGGUCUAAUACCGGAUAGGACUACGCACUGCAUGGUGUGUGGUGGAAAGCUUUUGCGGUGUGGGAUGGGCCCGCGGCCUAUCAGCUUGUUGGUGGGGUGAUGGCCUACCAAGGCGACGACGGGUAGCCGGCCUGAGAGGGUGUCCGGCCACACUGGGACUGGGAUACGGCCCAGACUCCUACGGGAGGCAGCAGUGGGGAAUAUUGCACAAUGGGCGCAAGCCUGAUGCAGCGACGCCGCGUGGGGGAUGACGGCCUUCGGGUUGUAAACCUCUUUCAGCACAGACGAAGCGCGAGUGACGGUAUGUGCAGAAGAAGGACCGGCCAACUACGUGCCAGCCGCCGCCGUAA
rnacentral:rRNA from 1 species